UACAGCAGAUAAAGCCCAGGAGACCCUAGAUUAGCUACAAGCCAUACUGGGAAAACUGAAAAAAGCCUAAAGACAUUCAUUUAAAAAAUAUAAUUUGAAAUAUCUACAUUUAUAGUAGAGAAUAUGCAGCCUUCCUAGCACAUAAUGUGUGGAUGCCAUGGCAGGAAACUGAUCUGGAGACAGAAGACAUGCCAAUGUCAUUAAACAAUCCAUAUGUCUGCCUAAUGCAUGAGAUUAGAACAUCUUCCACUUUGAAAAUCAUUGACAAAGUGACGUCUGGGUGGCUCAGUGGUUAAGCAUCUGCUUUCAGCUCAGGGCAUGGUCCUGGAGUCCCUGGAUUGAGUCCCACAUGGGGCUCCCUGCAUGAAGCCUGUGUGUCCCUCUGCCUGUG